UUUACCCAUUUGGAGAUCGAUUCAUAUGCGCAUUGUAAGGAUGUUAACAAUUUCAACCGUCGUAGCUUCACUCCGUUGUUACAAUUUCAAACAACUGACCUGAGCAUUAUUGGUCCAAAACAACAAUGAUUGAUUGAUGCAAAGAACUACCAAUGGUGACCAGAAAAAUAAACAGAUGAUGCACUUACUAACAACUGAUUUGAUCUACACCUAUGGUGACUGGGCUGUGUUUCUGAUGGCGUCGUGGUGGGAACUCUUAGCCAUCAUACAUCAGUAGAUGACAGCAACUACGGUUUGAGUGAAGUAUUCGGGAUAGCUUGGAGAUGACUCAAGGCAUGGGUUAACUGGUCAAACUUAGCCCACUAAGUCAACUCGGUCUACGGUGGGUGUGAGUGGGUGCAGAUUCUAAAACCAACGAGAGGGAAGAACUACGUACGCCCCCGACCGCAACCGUCAAACAUGAAGAUCUAUUAGCAUAAUUAAUUGAUAUAGGCCACAAUUGCAAAUGUUGCUGCAUGGAUAUGGUUACACAUCUAUAAUACCUGCAGCUGGAGAUGGUUGUUGGGAUUUUGAUAGAAUCAUCAUGGCUGGAGAUGUGAGCAAGACACCAAGGUAGUGUUGUUCAUGGUAAAGGUUUUUAUAGCUAGACUAUGUACAACAGAACUUUAUUAGCACCCCUAAAAUGGUCAAGGAUGUGUUGGUCAUUCCGUUUUCAGUCGUCUUCGAUGGCUAAAGCUUUAGUGUGCACUUAAGAUUGGCUAUGCAAGUAAAAAAAACAAAUCAAAAUGAAUGAAGAUUCAGCUAAUCUUAAUAAAUUUUUGAAAGGUAGUACUAACUUUUCUUCUUUUACCUACCAAUCAAUGUUGUAAAAACAGGUUGCAACCGAACCGCACGGCAUGCAUCGAACCGACACUUAUUGGUCGCCCUAGCUUUUUCACGAGUGGUGGUUGAACACUUUACCCGGUUCA